GCCGGUGUGGCUCAGUGGGUAGAGCGUCAGCCUGUGGACUGAAGGGUCCCGGGUUCAAUUCUGGUCAAGGGCA
rnacentral:tRNA from 1 species